UAUGAGUAGCGUUAAAGCGGGUGAAAAGCCCGCUCGCCGUAAGCGCAAGGUUUCCUACGCAACGUUCAUCGGCGUAGGGUGAGUCGGCCCCUAAGGUGAGGGCGAAAGCCGUAAUCGAUGGGAAGCUGGUUAAUAUUCCAGCACCGAUUUCUAGUGCGAUGGGGGGACGGAUCGUGGAAGAUUGUCCGGGUGUUGGAUGUCCCGGUUCCUGACUUGUAGGUGUUCAGUAGGUAAAUCCGCUGGACGUAUGCCGAGGGGUUGGGACGAGCGAACUUGUUCGCGAAGCAAUUGGAAGUGGUUCCAGGAAAAGCCUCUAAGCUUCAGCUAGAAACGACCGUACCGCAAACCAACACUGGUGCGCGAGAUGAGUAUUCUCAGGCGCUUGAGAGAACUCGGGAGAAGGAACUCGGCAAAUUGACACCGUAACUUCGGAAGAAGGUGUGCCUUGGUAGCUUGAGUGAGAACAUCACAAGGGCAAAGAGGUUGCAAAAAAUUGGUGGCUGCGACUGUUUAUUAAAAACACAGCACUCUGCAAACACGAAAGUGGACGUAUAGGGUGUGACGCCUGCCCGGUGCCGGAAGGUUAAGUGAUGGGGUGCAAGCUCUUGAUCGAAGCCCCGGUAAACGGCGGCCGUAACAAUAACGGUCCUAAGGUAGCGAAAUUCCUUGUCGGGUAAGUUCCGACCUGCACGAAUGGCGUAACGAUGGCCACACUGUCUCCUCCCGAGACUCAGCGAAGUUGAAAUGUUUGUGAUGAUGCAAUCUCCCCGCAGCUAGACGGAAAGACCCCAUGAACCUUUACUGUAGCUUUGCAUUGGAUUGUGAACCGAUCUGUGUAGGAUAGGUGGGAGGCUUUGAAGUCAGGACGCUAGUCUUGAUGGAGCCAACCUUGAAAUACCGCCCUGAUUUGUUCGCGGUUCUAACCUUGGCCCGUUAUCCGGGUCGGGGACAGUGCAUGGUGGGCAGUUUGACUGGGGCGGUCUCCUCCCAAAGAGUAACGGAGGAGUUCGAAGGUACGCUUGGUACGGUCGGAAAUCGUGCCUAAAGUGCAAUGGCAAAAGCGUGCUUGACUGUGAGUCUGACAAGACGAACAGGUGCGAAAGCAGGACAUAGUGAUCCGGUGGUUCUGUAUGGAAGGGCCAUCGCUCAACGGAUAAAAGGUACUCUGGGGAUAACAGGCUGAUACCGCCCAAGAGUUCAUAUCGACGGCGGUGUUUGGCACCUCGAUGUCGGCUCAUCUCAUCCUGGGGCUGUAGCCGGUCCCAAGGGUAUGGCUGUUCGCCAUUUAAAGAGGUACGUGAGCUGGGUUUAAAACGUCGUGAGACAGUUUGGUCCCUAUCUGCUGUGGGCGUUGGAGAUUUGACGGGGGCUGCUCCUAGUACGAGAGGACCGGAGUGGACGCACCUCUGGUGUACCUGUUGUCACGCCAGUGGCAUCGCAGGGUAGCUAUGUGCGGAAGAGAUAAACGCUGAAAGCAUCUAAGCGUGAAACUCGCCUGAAGAUGAGAUCUCCCUGGGGACUCGAUCCCCCUCAAGGGUCGUUCAAGACCAGGACGUUGAU
rnacentral:rRNA from 1 species